UGAGUGGCUGGAAAUCAGCAGCACUGAGGCUCACAGUGGGAAAGCAAUAUAGCUGUGAUUCAUUUCCUGCCUCACUUGGGAUUCUUUUUAAUGUCAUUUGGCCUUUUGGAGAUAGGCAGUUAUUUAUUAAGUAAUUCCUGUGAACAGUACAGGAACACACACACAAAAAAAAGUGUCUGAAGCUCUUCAGAAUGCCUGUGUCAGAAUCCAGAAGAGUCAAGAAGGCAUUUUUAUUCUUUAGAAAACUCACACAAAGUUUAACAAUGGGAUCAGAUAGCUUCCUGAAAAUGAACAUCUAAAGUUUCACUUCAGAGAAUUAUUCAACCAAGGAUUAAAAAGAUUAUUAAAUACAGUAAGCAAUGAAGGACAAAGAUAACUAGAAGUUUCUGUGUCCUACAGGAUCGAUACAGCAUUAUCUUGGAAUUAAA